AAAAAAAAACACGAAGGGAAGCGCAGCGCAGCGCCCCUCUCCUACCUCCACCGCUCAGAGCCCAGAACCCUCCUGCUCCUCCUCCGGCGGCGACAGCGGCGGGCGGCGGAGACGAGCACGUGGAGCUAAGUCGUCACGGCGCACUAGCCACCCCUGCGUCGGCAACUUCACCAGCCCCCACUAGCUCAACCUCGCCGUGGCGUACGCACCCGCACAACCCCUCUCUCCCCUCCCUCCCCCCGAAUCCCCAGUCUAGGAGGGUUCAGCUCCCGCCCGGCUCCGCGUAUUAAUUCCUGCUACUCAGCUCGGCCUCGACCCUUCUGCGUUCGAAUUCCCGGGGCCCUAGGGUUCUGCUCCCGGCUAGAGCCGGGUGCCUGAUUCAUUCCUCUUCGUCCAGUCGUUUUUUCUGAUUCGCUUUCUGAGAGGAUCUGAGGUUAUGAGUGCAGGUGCACAGCAUUCGAUUCCUGAAAGUUCUUCUGCAGUCCGAUUCCACCUUCCAGUCUGGUUCGGAGAUACCUAUACCUAUAUAUAUCGUACACACAAUUGAGGUUAAGUAUCCCCUGCGAAAAUCAAUGGAGAAAGCUUCUGUUUCGGAUGAUUCUUCAGAUUCGAGCACUGAUUGUGAUUGGUCCCAGCUUCAGGCUGACCUGCUCCUCCAGAUCUUUGGCACUCUCGAGAUCCCUGAUCUCUUCAGCUCAGGUGCGGUCUGUCGAUCAUGGCACCUCAUUUAUCUGGAGGCCCGCCGUCUCCGGCGGUGCUUGCCGAACCAGAGCCCCUGCCUUGUUUACUCAUCCGGCGACCGUGACGCUAACACGGCCACCCUGCAUAACAUGUCCACCAACAAGCUUUACCACAUCACUCUAUCGGAGCCUGCCUUCCGCACACGCCACGUCAUGGGCUCCUCCUAUGGCUGGCUCAUCACCGCCGAUGAGCGGUCGAAUCUCAUACUAGUCAACCCUGUAACCAGAGCUCAGAUAGCUAUGCCUCCCCCUGAAACCAUGAACAAUGUUAGACUGCGCUACACCGAAGACGGUGUGCUAGACGGAUAUGAUGUUCUUUACAUGGAUCUGUUCUCUCGGGAUUUUGACACUGAAAUGGAGCCGUACCAUCUUACACUUGAAGAAGCCCGCUUCUACCUCUAUGCGAGGGUCGUUCUUUCUUGUGAUCCCUCCCAUGGAAACUGCACAGUUCUCGUAGUACAAUUGCCAAAGGAUCAACUCUCUUAUACUAGGGUUGGGGACACCAAAUGGACUUGGAUUGAUGCAAAUCCAAAUUGUUGGGCUUAUCAACAUAUACUUUAUAACAACAAUGAUGGUUUGUUUUAUGGUGUUCGUGGUAUGGGUGAGGUUGAUUCUAUUGAUCUUAAUGAACCUUCCGCUGAAGUUAAAGUUAUUUUGAAGCCGAUCAUAUCCUAUCAAGCGCAUAGUAGAUAUAUUGUUCAAGCCCCAUGGGGAGAUUUUUUCCAGAUAUGGAGGCAUGAUAAAUAUAAUAAGGAGAAUGGAAUAACAGAUCGGGUUGCAGACAAGUUUUAUGUGUACAAGAUUGAUUUUGUUAAACAAAAGCUCGUUGAAACAAAUAACAUCCAAGAUCACGCAAUUUUCAUUGGUUACAACAGCUCAUUUAUGCUUCCAGUGAAAGACUUUUCUACACUGAUUCCCAACAGCAUCUACCACACGGAUGACUUGCUGGAUUAUAUCUUCUGUCAAAGAUCUAGUCUUAGGCAGGCUGUUGUCUUUAAUAUGAAAGAUAGCAGUUUCAUUGAGUUAUCGCCCCCUAGUUCAGAUUCAAGAUUGAACUGGCCACCCUCGGUUUGGAUUCAACCAUCACUUACUUGAGGUUAGUGAAACUUACUAAUGCAGAAUAUAUAUGUUAUUUUAUCUGCUUUAUACUUUUUUGGGGUAUCUAUCCAUGUUCUGUAGUUGGCCACUUAGACCUUUGUAAUCGGCACAAGUGAUCAUGUCUCCCAUCUUGUGUAGCCAUGUACUUAGGCUGCAUGAUCAGUAUUAAAUAGAUGUUUCGGAUGUAAACCUAUCCGUUCAGUAGGAUAAGGUUGCUAUGGUUGUUUUCAAGGAACACACUUAACUAAGUACUGUCUUGUUUAAAGUGUACUUAUACAAUGUGUAGAACUUGUAGUGUUGCUAAAACACACUUAAAAUGCUUUUCCUUUUAUGCUUAUUAUGGCAUCCAAACCAAAUAUUUAUACCUAAAUCUAGAUCGAAAUCCUUUUGUUGCUCUUGGAUGGUUCGAUACAUGAUACAUCGACAAUUAAGGAGGCUUACCAAUAAAUAUUAAAGUGCCUCAACUAGCUUUGUUAAUAUCCUACUCCGAAUUGUUUCAUUCCUCUGUCCCUAAAUCUUUAUGUCAAAUUAUUAUCUCUUUCCUAAGGUACCAGCAUACUGUUUCGAGUGAUCCUAAAACAGAUUCUGAACUUUCGUUAGGCGUUACAAUAUCACUUUUCCAAUUUAUUAUCAUCACUGUUUAUGAUGGUUAGUAUUACUUAUCAUGUAAGGUUAGGUCAUGAAUUUGUCCACGUGCCAGAACCAUGACUAGGUUUCGAGAUCUUAUGGGUUUCAACUCUUGCCUACCCCUACUUGUCUGGGACUAAAACGCUUUGUUGUUGUUGUGUUCAAUACAUGUAUGAUCAACUAGCUGGUACGAAGUAAUGUAAAUAAAUCCAAUCAUGUAUUCAUGUAGUACAUCCAUCUCCUAUUCUCCAUACAAAUCCGAUGAUCACUGUAGAAAUAUAAUCAUAUUGCGUGAACCCCCAAAACAAGAGUAGCAAUUGUCUCGGACCAUUAGCUCAAAGUCAACUCUAAAUUUUGUAGACACAAUCAUUUAUUCAUUGUAAAUAACUAAUAAUCAUGUCUUUUGUGCUAGCAAAAUAUUGUACUACUAAAUAGUUGUAACACGAUGGUCGGAGCUAGUCAUCAUAACCGAUGCUUUAUUUUUUGUUUUUCAGAUUAUUCUUGCAAAUAUCUGACGAAUGGAACACUGUUUAUCAAGGCCUUCAAAUAUAGAGGCCCUACUUGGAAUUAGCUGCCUAAAUAGCACAUAACUGACUCAUGCCUAUUUUAAGGUCCUGCCAGUAAUAAACCAGCCUGUUUUGAAGGCACCAGAGCAUUCACAUCUUGGAAAACAAACUUGUCUUGAGAAGGUGCAUCCCUUGAUCAUCAGUUCAUCACAACAGUUCAAAUAACAAGAUUAGUGCCUCUGCUGCGUCUAUUGUUUUAGUUGGUUCAAGUGAGGAACCCGGGAUAUCAAUAACUGUUCGUCAGGCAAGUGUAAGGAAACAUUUCGUUUGGUGUACCACCCAUGCCGAUGAAUAUCUUUAAUUUAUGCAGACAGUUUGACCACUGCUAGUCCACUGUUUCAGCAAAGGUUUAUUGCUGAUGGAAUUGAAACUUUGGUCAGGAUAGGUAUCCCAGUUAACGCUGCUAGCUCCUUGUGGUGGAACUGUUUGUUCUUUGGUCGGUACCUGACCUUGUUCAUUAUAGGUGCACUUGUUUUAGAAAAUUUUGCCGUCAAGCAAAUGUUUCCCUUGCUUAGGAUUCUUGUUAUAUUCUCAUGUAUCGACUCUUCCAAGAUGAGUAAUCCAGAGCCACGACAUAGUUGGAACUUC